CAGGCAGAUGCCGGUGAGAUUACAUUAAUCAUCUCUGUGUCGCGGGUUCGAGUCCCGCCCUUUGCGCCGCAGCGUGAAGGUAGCUCAGUCAGGUAGAGCGGGAGCACCAUCUCACCAACCCCUUGCUGCCGCCGU
rnacentral:Y_RNA from 1 species